rnacentral:tRNA from 1 species
GAAGUAUACCCAUAGUAAGCUUCUAACUUAACUAUAAAGCGAUAAUUUCGUUUAUACUUCU